UACGUAGGGGGCAAGCGUUGUCCGGAAUCAUUGGGCGUAAAGAGCGCGUAGGCGGCCCGACAAGUCCGCUGUGAAAGUCAGGGGCUCAACCCUUGAAUGCCGGUGGAUACUGUCGGGCUAGAGUCCGGAAGAGGCGAGUGGAAUUCCUGGUGUAGCGGUGAAAUGCGCAGAUAUCAGGAGGAACACCAAUGGCGAAGGCAGCUCGCUGGGACGGUACUGACGCUGAGGCGCGAAAGCGUGGGGAGCAAACAGG
rnacentral:rRNA from 2 species